rnacentral:rRNA from 1 species
GGGAGGCAGCAGUAGGGAAUCUUCCGCAAUGGGCGAAAGCCUGACGGAGCAACGCCGCGUGAGUGAUGAAGGUUUUCGGAUCGUAAAACUCUGUUAUUAGGGAAGAACAAAUGCGUAAGUAACUGUGCGCAUCUUGACGGUACCUAAUCAGAAAGCCACGGCCAACUACGUGCCAGCAGCCGCGGUAAUACGUAGGUGGCAAGCGUUAUCCGGAAUUAUUGGGCGUAAAGCGCGCGUAGGCGG